rnacentral:rRNA from 1 species
AACCGCGGUUAUACGAGAGGCCCAAGUUGAUAGGAAUCGGCGUAAAGGGUGGUUAAGGGUUAUUACAAAAUAAAGCCAAAGAUUCUCAAUGCUGUUAUACGCUCUCGAGGACUCGAAGCCCCACCACGAAAGUGGCUUUACCCCACCCCGAACCCACGAAAGCCAGGGUA